rnacentral:misc_RNA from 1 species
AACAUCUCAAAUCUCUCGACGCUUGCGUUUUGAGAGAAUUGGAUUUGAGCAAUCCCGACUCUUUCAUCAGAAAGAGGAGGGUUGCUUGAAAUGCAGGUGCAGCUGGACAUUCUUCUGAGCUAAAAGCAUAUCUAUUUAGUCCCGUCAAACGGAUUAUUACUUUUGCUUCAGCUAAUAUAAAGGUCGAAUGAACUACCAACGCUGAUUGCAGGAAAACUCGUUUGUAACAGAACUUGUAA